rnacentral:lncRNA from 1 species
CCCUCAUCCAUAUCUACACCCACGUCCAUGACUACACCCCCAUCCAUAUCUACACCCACAUCCAUAUCUACACCCACGUCCAUGACUACACCCACAUCCAUAUCUACACCCACAUCCAUAUCUAUACUCACGUCCAUGACUACACCCCCAUCCAUAUCUACACCCACAUCCAUAUCUACACCCAUAUCCAUGUCUACACCCACAUCCAUAUCUAUACUCACGUCCAUGACUACACCCCCAUCCAUAUCUACACCCCCAUCCAUGUCUACACCCACAUCCAUGUCUACACCCACGUCCAUGACUACACCCACAUCCA